AUUUUCUGGCAGUUCGGCUCGUCACAUGCAUCGUAUAUAAUCAUUCCCGGCAGUCUGUCGAAUUCUGGUUUCAUUUCAUGGUGAGGCCUCGGACAGAAUAACAAUGUGCCUCCUUUAUCAGCCUUCGCUUAAGAAGUGUGUAAAUGUUUUUAUGGGAAAACCGAGCUAAAAUUUCACGCCGUUUAAACAGAGUAAGAAGACCUAUGGGUUACACUAAACCUUCCAGUAAUGCAGCUCAGCCACCGCCCCAUAUCGACUAGUAUAGACACACACUAACUCGUCCUCCUCAUAGUAUAGGGCGCCAUUACUUUUCAAUUCGAACGUGUCUUAAUUCAUGGUUGUUGUUUUUUUCUUUGAUUUAUGUUUUUGAUGUUGGUGUUAUGGAUUUGGUUUUGCUGUUGUGUGAUUGUUUUCGUAUUGCUGUUGUGUGUUUAAGUUUGUUGUGUUUUGGUUUUAGUGUGUUUGGUUUUGCAGUUGUGUAUUUGAAGUUGCUGUUGUAUAUUAGGUUGUGUAUUUGGUUUUAGUGUGUUUAUGUACUGUUGUGUAUCAGGUUGUGUGUUUGUUUUCACUGUUGUGUAUCAGGUUGUGUGUUUGAUUUUACUGUUGUGUAUCAGGAUGUGUGUUUGAUUUUACUGUUGCGUAUCAGGUUGUGCGUUCGUUUUCACUGUUGUGUAUCAGGUUGUGUGUUAGAUGUACUGUUGUGUAUCAGGUCGUGUGUUUGUUUUCACUGUUCUAUAUCAGGUUGUGUGUUUGUUUUCACUGUUGUGUAUCAGGUUGUGUGUUUGUUUUCACUGUUGCGUAUCAGGUUGUGUGUUUGUUUUCACUGUUGUGUAUCAGGUUGUGUGUUAGAUGUACUGUUGUGUAUCAGGUUGUGUGUUUGUUUUCACUGUUGUGUAUCAGGUCGUGCGUUCGUUUUCACUGUUGCGUAUCAGGUCGUGCGUUCGUUUUCACUGUUGCGUAUCAGGUCGUGGGUUCGUUUUCACUGUUGCGUAUCAGGUCGUGGGUUCGUUUUCACUGUUGCGUAUCAG
ensembl:lncRNA